rnacentral:tRNA from 1 species
GGGCUGGGGCUCAGUGGUAGAGCGCUUGCCUAGCAUGUGUGAGGCACUGGGUUCAAUUCUCAGCACCACA